CCUACGGGAGGCAGCAGUGAGGAAUAUUGGUCAAUGGACGCAAGUCUGAACCAGCCAUGCCGCGUGCAGGAAGACGGCCCUAUGAGUUGUAAACUGCUUUUGUACGAGGGUAAACUCCGAUACGCGUAUCUGUCUGCAAGUAUCGUACGAAUAAGGAUCGGCUAACUCCGUGCCAGCAGCCGCGGUAAUACGGAGGAUUCAAGUGUUAUCCGGAUUUAUUGGGUUUAAAGGGAGCGUAGGCCGCAUGUCAAGCGUGCUGUGAAAUGUCCGGGCUCAACCCGGGCCUUGCAGCGCGAACUGGCGGGCUUGAGUCCGCGGAAAGCAGGCGGAAUUCGUCGUGUAGCGGUGAAAUGCUUAGAUAUGACGAAGAACCCCGAUUGCGAAGGCAGCCUACUAAACUGCAACUGACAUUGAUGCUCGAAAGUGUGGGUAUCAAACAGGAUUAGAUACCCCGGUAGUC
rnacentral:rRNA from 1 species